rnacentral:rRNA from 1 species
AUUCCAGCUCCAGUAGCGUAUAUUAAAGUUGUUGCAGUUAAAAAGCUCGUAGUUGGAUUUCUGGUUUCACAGAACUGGCCUACUUCCUCAAGGUCGUGUGCGCCGUGUUUUGUGUACCAUCCUUCUAGAAAACGUUCGUACCCUUCACUGGGCCGCGUCCGAGAUCUAGAUCUUUUACUUUGAAAAAAUUAGAGUGUUUAAAGCAGGCAGUUGCUAUGAAUACAUUAGCAUGGAAUAAUAAUCUAGGACUUCGGUUCUAUUUUGUUGGUUUCUAGUACUGAAGUAAUGAUUGAUAGGGAUAGUUGGGGGUGCUAGUAUUGAGCGGCCAGAGGUGAAAUUCUUGGAUUCGCUCAAGACUAACUUAUGCGAAAGCAUUCACCAAGGAUGUCUUCAUCA